rnacentral:misc_RNA from 1 species
UGCUGUUGCUCAAGGAACAGAUGAGAAUGCAAAGACAAAUGAUGUGGAACAAAAUGAUUCAUCAUUACCCAAGGUGGAAACAUCAAUAAAUGCUGAUGAUGCAACUAAGGAUGCCAACAGUGGAGUUAAUCAGAGUAGGAUUAUAAAUCUGUCUAUAGCUUCUAACAUGUCUUCUGCUGUUAAGACAAGAUAUAUAUCAGGCGCCAUUAUCAUUGCACCCUGGAAGAGAAAGAUUACCUGAUGUACCUCUAGAGGGAGACAAAUUACAUCCUAGAGGGAGGGAUGAAACUUAUGAGGGUUCCCGCAAGUUCUCAAGAGAAAGGUAUCAAGAUCAGUCAUCCAGAAACUCUAGAUGGAAUUAUGUCCACGGUAGAGGGAGGCUUGCUAGUAGGAUUGACUCUAUGUGCAGUGAUAGAGAUUCUGAACGUGAUUGCAUUCCCAGACAUAAAUAUGCGCCUGCUGUUGCUGCAUCAGAUGCUGAAUUCAUGAAUUAUAGUAUUGGACCAGAUGGUGCAUUUGUUGGUUCUGUUCGGGGAAUGCAAUCACGUUCAGAAUCUCUAUCAGUCAUCUUUCCUCAAGGAGGCGCUCCCCUGGAGGGAGAGAUGGACCUGCCUCUCGUGGGCUUCCAAUGGUUAGAAGAGUUCCAAGAAGCAUUGGUGAAGACAAUUCUGAAGUUGUUGGACUAAGGCUGCUGAUAAGAUUAUGAGGGGAUUUCCAGAUGAUGGUGAAGGACAUGCAUAUACACGUCCCCAACCUCCCUACGAGGGAUUAGAUGGUCGUUUUGUACAAGGGACUAGGACCUUUUCUUCUGUUCAGAGAAGGGGUCUUC